rnacentral:tRNA from 1 species
GACCGCUUAGCACAACAGUAGUGCGCCACUUUACUAAAGCGGCGAUUGCGAGUUUGAUUUUCGCAGUGGUCU